rnacentral:rRNA from 1 species
UACGUAGGGUGCGAGCGUUAAUCGGAAUUACUGGGCGUAAAGCGUGCGCAGGCGGUUUUGUAAGCCGGAUGUGAAAUCCCCGGGCUUAACCUGGGAACUGCGUUUGAAACUACAAGGCUAGAGUGUGACAGAGGGGGGUGGAAUUCCACGUGUAGCAGUGAAAUGCGUAGAGAUGUGGAGGAACACCGAUGGCGAAGGCAGCCCCCUGGGUUAACACUGACGCUCAGGCACGAAAGCGUGGGGAGCAAACAGG